rnacentral:rRNA from 1 species
GAGUUUGAUCAUGGCUCAGGACGAACGCUGGCGGCGUGCUUAACACAUGCAAGUCGAACGGUAAGGCCCCUUCGGGGGUACACGAGUGGCGAACGGGUGAGUAACACGUGAGCAACCUACCCUUGACUCUGGAAUAACAGCUGGAAACAGCUGCUAAAUACCGGAUACGGCCCCUGGCGGCAUCGCCCGGGGGUGAAAGUUCCGGCGGUCAAGGAUGGGCUCGCGGCCUAUCAGCUAGUUGGUGGGGUAACGCCUACCAAGGCUUCGACGGUAGCCGGCCUGAGAGGGCGACCGGCCACACUGGGACUGAGAUACGGCCCAGACUCCUACGGGAGGCAGCAGUGGGGAAUAUUGCACAAUGGGCGCAAGCCUGAUGCAGC